rnacentral:rRNA from 1 species
AAGAGUUUGAUCCUGGCUCAGAUUGAACGCUGGCGGCAGGCCUAACACAUGCAAGUCGAGCGGAUGAAGGGAGCUUGCUCCUGGAUUCAGCGGCGGACGGGUGAGUAAUGCCUAGGAAUCUGCCUGGUAGUGGGGGAUAACGUCCGGAAACGGGCGCUAAUACCGCAUACGUCCUGAGGGAGAAAGUGGGGGAUCUUCGGACCUCACGCUAUCAGAUGAGCCUAGGUCGGAUUAGCUAGUUGGUGGGGUAAAGGCCUACCAAGGCGACGAUCAGUAACUGGUCUGAGAGGAUGAUCAGUCACACUGGAACUGAGACACGGUCCAGACUCCUACGGGAGGCAGCAGUGGGGAAUAUUGGACAAUGGGCGAAAGCCUGAUCCAGCCAUGCCGCGUGUGUGAAGAAGGUCUUCGGAUUGUAAAGCACUUUAAGUUGGGAGGAAGGGCAGUAAGUUAAUACCUUGCUGUUUUGACGUUACCAACAGAAUAAGCACCGGCUAACUUCGUGCCAGCAGCCGCGGUAAUACGAAGGGUGCAAGCGUUAAUCGGAAUUACUGGGCGUAAAGCGCGCGUAGGUGGUUCAGCAAGUUGGAUGUGAAAUCCCCGGGCUCAACCUGGGAACUGCAUCCAAAACUACUGAGCUAGAGUACGGUAGAGGGUGGUGGAAUUUCCUGUGUAGCGGUGAAAUGCGUAGAUAUAGGAAGGAACACCAGUGGCGAAGGCGACCACCUGGACUGAUACUGACACUGAGGUGCGAAAGCGUGGGGAGCAAACAGGAUUAGAUACCCUGGUAGUCCACGCCGUAAACGAUGUCGACUAGCCGUUGGGAUCCUUGAGAUCUUAGUGGCGCAGCUAACGCGAUAAGUCGACCGCCU